rnacentral:rRNA from 1 species
CAGGCGCAGCUGAUCCUUCAUCCGCGUGCAGGACGAAGCCUCGGGUUGUAAGCUGCUUUGUACGGAGCGAAAAGCCUUGGGUUAAUACCUUGGGGUCAUGACGGUACCGUAAGAAUAAGCACCGGCUAACUACGUGCCAGCAGCCGCGGUAAUACGUAGGGUGCAAGCGUUAAUCGGAAUUACUGGGCGUAAAGCGUGCGCAGGCGGUUAUGUAAGACAGAGGUGAAAUCCCCGGGCUCAACCUGGGAACUGCCUUUGUGACUGCAUAGCUGGAGUGCGGCAGAGGGGGAUGGAAUUCCGCGUGUAGCAGUGAAAUGCGUAGAUAUGCGGAGGAACACCGAUGGCGAAGGCAAUCCCCUGGGCCUGCACUGACGCUCAUGCACGAAAGCGUGGGGAGCAAACAGGAUUAGAUACCCUGGUAGUCCACGCCCUAAACGAUGUCAACUGGUUGUAGGGUCUUCAAUGACUCAGUAACGAAGCUAACGCGUGAAGUUGACCGACUGGGGAGUACGGCCGCAAGGUUGAAA